UCGUGCUAGGCGGGGAGGUAGCGGUGCCCUGUAGCCCGCAAUCCGCUGCAGCGGGGCUGAAUCCCCUCCUGAGGGUUUGUCUUGUGGGGUCCGGCGGGAGCAAGUGGCAAGGACCUCUGGGUCCCGCGCAACCGGAACUCUUGAACCGUGUCAGGUCCGGAAGGAAGCAGCACUAAGGGAGCCCUCCGGUGUGCCGCGGGGAAGCCUGGAAUGAGUUAACUGCUCUCGUAACGCCCGGAAGGCAUUAUUCGAGGGAGGGUGCACGA
rnacentral:SRP_RNA from 1 species